rnacentral:rRNA from 1 species
UGGGGAAUCUUGCGCAAUGGGCGCAAGCCUGAUCCAGCAAUGCCGCGUGCAGGAUGAAGGCCUUCGGGUUGUAAACUGCUUUUGUACGGAGCGAAAAGGUCUGCCCUAAUACGGUGGGCUCAUGACGGUACCGUAAGAAUAAGCACCGGCUAACUACGUGCCAGCAGCCGCGGUAAUACGUAGGGUGCGAGCGUUAAUCGGAAUCACUGGGCGUCAAGCGUGCGCAGGCGGUUAUAUAAGACAGAUGUGAAAUCCCCGGGCUCAACCUGGGACCUGCAUUUGUGACUGUAUAGCUAGAGUACGGUAGAGGGGGAAGGAGUACCGCGUGUAGCAGUAAAAUGCGUGGGUAUGCGGAGGAACGCCGAUGGCGAAGGCAAUCCCCUGGACCUGUAAUGACGCUCAUGCACGAAAGCGUGGGAAGCAAACA